rnacentral:rRNA from 1 species
CCUACGGGGGGCAGCAGUAGGGGAUAUUGCUCAAUGGGGGAAACCCUGAAGCAGCGACGCCGCGUGGAGGAUGAAAGGUCUCGGAGUGUAAAGCCCUUUUAGUAGGGAAGAAAAUGACGGUACCUAACGAAUAAGCCCCGGCUAACUCCGUGCCAGCAGCCGCGGUAAUACGGAGGGGGCAAGCGUUAUUCGGAAUCACUGGGCGUAAAGAGGGCGUAGGCGGGGUUGCAAGGCAGACGUGAAAUCCUAGGGCCUAACCAUAGGACUGCAGUUGAAACUGUGAGUCUAGAGUAUGGGAGAGGUAGGUGGAAUUCCUGGUGUAGCGGUGAAAUGCGUAGAGAUCAGGAGGAACACUGAUCGCGAAGGCGUCCUGCUGGACCACAACUGACGCUGAGGCGCGAAAGCGUGGGGAGCAAACAGGAUUAGAUACCCGGGUAGUC